AGGUAUUAAGAUGACCAAACUUGGGUGACCUAUUGGGUCCCAUCAAAAUUAACCUAUGCAGAUCAUAAUGAUUAACAAGAACAUUAUUGGGUAAAGAAAAGUGAUCAAGGAUACAACUUUCCUUCAAUUACUCCUGCUAAGAGUUUUCCACCUGCUGAGUACCGGGGUCCUUGAUCACUUGCUCGUCUACUCGCAACAAUACAAACAAACAUGGUAUAGGAGAAAUUAACAUCACACCAAACAUAAGAACAUACCGCAUAAUAAUGUUCUACGCGUUGCUACAAGAUUGUAGGUUCGAUAACCACUAAAAUCGGAGUUACGGUAAAGGAGUUAUGAUUUUCUGAAGAUUUAGGAGUUAGACAUAAAACAAAUUAAGUGCAUGCUUUUGACCAUAUGUUUUACCCUGAAAUUAGCCUACUAGAUGAUAAACAAUAUUAAUGCAAAAUUAAUGCAACUAGAACGGAUCAAAAAGAGUUAGAAUAAAUAAGUUAUGAUUUUAUUAAAUUUCGGGAUUUAUUUUCUAUAUCAAUAACCUUUUUCUGAUUUAUUUUACUAAUUCUGGUGUCUUAAUGGAGUGGACACAAAUACCAAAGAGUAUAAGGGUGAAACUGCAAAUUCUAGGGCUCGGGUGUAAUUUAUUUCCAACUACGAUUGGAUGGCGGGUUUAUUCUAACAAAGAACAAUGGCCCUUACGCAAAAUGGCACGACCGAAAGAGUACGGGCAGAUUCUGGCCGCAUGAUUAGAAUUCCGCGAUCCAGAUUAGAUCUGAACUGUAUCGAAGUGGUACGCGACGGUAGCCAAUGGAUCCAAUACCGACGGCGGGGAUUUUAAACGGGCACGAUCGGUUGGAUCCGUCCGAUCGCAUCUGAUGGCCUAGAUUCGAAGCGCGAAGGGAAAACCUUGGCUUUUAAUCUCAACCGCCACUCCCUAAAUCGACGUCCACCACGCAUCCUUCUCCUAUGCCGUGAUAGGGCGGUGGUGCACAUAAUGCCGCGGCGAAGCUCCCGCCGGUGACACCCGUCCCGGCCAGCCGACGACUGAUUCCCCAAACCUGCUAGGAUUAUGUGCAAAAGGGAACACGACAUAUGAGAUGGGACACUUACUGGAGACAGGAAUGACGCCCGAAGAGCCACCCACGGCACGCAGCGGCCCACGAUGGCAUUGUGCGGUCUGGCGAGAAAUUGCCGGUGACUGCCGGUUCCCGCACCCAAUAGAACACUCGAGCACCUUCCUUGGUCCCUGGCGACUCCUCCCACCCUCUUGCGGAGCCCAAAGCAAGCCCGUGGCAUGAGGUCGAGAUCGGCGACCAAAUCUCCCACUCACCCACGCCCUUCUCUCAUUUCCUUCUCUCUGGUGAACUCGUGGGCUCUCUUCUCAACGACGGUCAUAGAUGGGGUGAGC
rnacentral:lncRNA from 1 species